rnacentral:rRNA from 1 species
GACGAACGCUGGCGGCGUGCUUAACACAUGCAAGUCGAACGGAAAGGCCCUGCUUGCCGGGUACUCGAGUGGCGAACGGGUGAGUAACACGUGGGUGAUCUGCCCUGCACUUCGGGAUAAGCUUGGGAAACUGGGUCUAAUACCGGAUAGGAGCCAUCUUUAGUGUGGUGGUUGGAAAGUUUUUUCGGUGUAGGAUGAGCUCGCGGCCUAUCAGCUUGUUGGUGGGGUAAUGGCCUACCAAGGCGGCGACGGGUAGCCGGCCUGAGAGGGUGUACGGCCACAUUGGGACUGAGAUACGGCCCAGACUCCUACGGGGGGCAGCAGUGGGGAAUAUUGCACAAUGGGCGCAAGCCUGAUGCAGCGACGCCGCGUGGGGGAUGAAGGCCUUCGGGUUGUAAACUCCUUUCGCUAGGGACGAAGCUUUGUUGUGACGGUACCUAGAUAAGAAGCACCGGCUAACUACGUG